CAGAAUUUCUUUUAAGAAAAACUUUCUCUGUCUUUUUUUUUUUUUAAGGGAAAACGUGUUGCAAUAAUACGCAGCAUACAGAACAACCACGCUCUCUCUGGUUACAGCUGAACGACACCACAGCAGCAGCAGAAUAUGUACAAAUUAAACUGUAACAGUGUACCAAGGAGAGGUAUGGUAAUAUCAUAAAAAUUAUCCACAGUACAAUAUGACUAAUGUUGUGUGAAAUGCAUUCACUGGCAAAAUGAUGUUUAGGUGUAUCUGAAGGAGUUAUGCUGAUGGAGUUAAUGGUUAUGGAACAUAGAUAACGGGAGGAAAGGCGACUGAAAGACGAAAGGUUGCAGCAAGGGCAGUGCGGCUGCUCGGCUGAGGAGGACUGUCCAGCAGGCGUAUUGGAAGAUUUGGAAAAACUUGUCCUGUGACCCAUCGUGGCAACUGCGAACUCCACAUUUUCCUUGUGGCUGGGCACCUUGACUGUGGCCCAGCUGUCUAUGGUCAGCACAGAAGGUGUGAUCGGGGUGAAACGCAUCUCAAGAGCAAGCUCUGGGGCAGAACCGGGACCUCCGCUGUCUGCUGCGACGCUGCGGGUGAGACGUUUCCUUCUCACCAGUGCACGUUUCCUGGCAGUGCUGGGCUGGCCUGGAAAUCUAGAGCUGCGCUCCUCGAGAGCAAGGUCAACUUGUGGACGUACCUGCUGCAAGAUAUUACCAGGACAAGCCAUGAAGCUGGAAGUUUAAAAUGGAUCAAGGUGAUUUUCUGAACAUCAGUAUGCAAGUAAG
rnacentral:lncRNA from 1 species